UUCGCCAGGGAACAACGAGCCCCAGCUUAAAACCCAAAGGACUUGGCGGUGCUUUAGACCCCCCUAGAGGAGCCUGUUCUAGAAUCGAUAUUCCCCGUUCAACCUCACCCCCUCUUGUUUUUUCCGCCUAUAUACCGCCGUCGUCAGCCUACCCUGUGAAGGACUAAUAGUAAGCAAAAUUGGUAAAACCUAAAACGUCAGGUCAAGGUGUAGCAUACGAGGAGGGAAGAAAUGGGCUACAUUUGCUGCCCCAGCAAAAACGAACGUUGCACUGAAACGAGCAUCUGAAGGAGGAUUUAGCAGUAAGAGGGGAAUAGAGCGCCCCCCUGAAAACGGCCCUGAAGCGCGCACACACCGCCCGUCACUCUCCCCAAAAAACCUAAACAAAUAAAUAAUAAAAUACUAAAACAGAGGGGAGGCAAGUCGUAACAUGGUAAGUGUACCGGAAGGUGUACUUGGAAAAACCC
rnacentral:rRNA from 1 species